rnacentral:tRNA from 1 species
GGCGGCAUGGCCGAGUGGUUCAAGGCGUGGCCGAGUGGUUCAAGGCGUGGCC